rnacentral:rRNA from 1 species
CAGUAGCCGCAGGAAUACGGAGGGAGCUAGCGUUGUUCGGAAUUACUGGGCGUAAAGCGCACGUAGGCGGUUAUUCAAGUCAGAGGUGAAAGCCCGGGGCUCAACCCCGGAACUGCCUUUGAAACUAGAUGACUGGAAUCUUGGAGAGGUCAGUGGAAUUCCGAGUGUAGAGGUGAAAUUCGUAGAUAUUCGGAAGAACACCAGUGGCGAAGGCGACUGACUGGACAAGUAUUGACGCUGAGGUGCGAAAGCGUGGGGAGCAAACAGGAUUAGAUACCCCUGUAGUCCCUGUCUCUUAUAA